UUGCUUCAGCAGCACAUAUACUAAAAUUGAAAUGAUACAGAGAAGAUUAGCAUGGCCCUGCACAAGAUUGACAUGCAAAUUUGUGAAGCAUUCCAUAUUUUU
ensembl:snRNA U6 U6 spliceosomal RNA